ACUGCCCAAUUGUGGAGUUUCACUCGAGUGGAACAAGUAAUAAGAGAAAUAUGCAGCUCUCCCUGCCUUCAUUGAGCUUCUUAGGUGGCCAGGAGCAAACAGCGUGCCUCCCUCCUGCAAAGCACUUAACUGGGACCUGGGGCUGUGGGAUUGGAGCUAGGCUGCCAUGCAGAACAGCUCCCGCUGAACUCCAAAGAGAAGCAGCUCCUGAGAUAAAAGCUGAAGAGUUGAUCUUCCUUUGAAUUGGAAAGGAUUUCACAUUAAAAAGUUUGAACCAGUAUCCGUGCACAAGCGCAGAUGACUGCAGCCAGAAGUUGCUGAGGGGUUUAACUCGCCUUAUUAAUGUCAGCAGGAUGCUAAAUGCUCUGGAGUUGAUUGGACGGAGGGUCUGGAGCACAGCAAGUCCAGUUGUUAGCUUCCAUCUCCCUGCGCCUCAGUUUCUCGCUGUUGCAUGGUAAUGCACGGUGACAUUGUGCUGAGAAAUGAAUCAUUGCUGAAGCCUGCACCUUGGUUAGAAACCACAAGCCAGGUUCAUGAGGAAAUGAGCACUUUUCUGUUUGACACGGGAUUUGGAUGUUGUGUACUAAAUAAUGAUUAGGGUCAUAAAAAUCUGCAGUGAACAAUUAUCCAUUCAGUGAACAAGGCAGGUGUUUGGGGGGAAAAAUAGGAGGCAGUUGGGUAAUUAGUCUGUACCAGAACGCGUGAGCUCAAGUGGGGCUAAUAAAAUGUGCACAGGCAAUUUUAAAUCUGGCAAGUCCUUUCCUCUGAGCACCUGACUCGGAAACCAUGUUACAUUUCAGCAUAAUUUCUGAUGGAACACUGCAUUCUGAUUGCAGACAUUCCUGUCCAAAAUUGCAGGGUGCUUUCUGCCCAAAGCUUGGGCAUUGUAGCAGUUCGAGGUGUGGAAGAAACAACGGGAGAGAUGGUUGGUUGGAGUGGGGAGGGGGAAUGGCUGCUGCGUAGAGCUGGUUGGGCAAGGGCAACAGCAUCACUAAUCCACCCUCCUCCUGCAAUCCCCAGCUUUUCACUGAGCAGAAAGCAGCAUCCAGGGGGAUCUGUUUGCCUCUCUGUAGGUGGAGCUGCAAGGCUCAGCAGGGAGCUCUGACCAUGCACAGCAGUGAGCAUGCCAUGCCAGUCCCUUGCUCCAAAGGAGCCCAGCACCCACCUGCUGCAGGACUGGCAUGAGCAGGAGCUGCAUGCGGUGCCCAGUGCUGGCAUGUGCCCCCCACAGCAACAGCCUGGCUCCCUCAGCAGGUGAAAAUGUUUCAUCUCCAAUAACCACUUGUCUCAUUAUCCAGCUGCGCUAGUUUUGCACUAUCUGGUUACCGCCUGGCUUGGAGACACCUGUUCUGUGUCCAGGCAUUUUAGAGAAAAACUCUCCAAAGCUGUCAACAGACAGAGAAGGGCUGCCUGUUUCCAUGGGAACGUGCUCCCUGAGCCCUGCAUGCAAGGAGUGCUGCGGAUUGCCGGACACUGCUGGGAGAGCCAGGAUUGAUCCUGGGCAUUGCUGUGAGGUGCACUGCCUGUAGGCGAAGUGGGAAGGGGACACAAUGGGGAGCACAGCACCAUGUCCCUGCCAAGGGGACAGAAGGGAUGGCUGGGUG